rnacentral:rRNA from 1 species
UACGUAGGGGGCUAGCGUUGUCCGGAUUUAUUGGGCGUAAAGAGCGUGUAGGCGGCCAGGUAGGUCUGCUGUGAAAACUCGAGGCUCAACCUCGAGACGUCGGCGGAAACCAUCUGGCUAGAGUCCGGAAGAGGAGAGUGGAAUUCCUGGUGUAGCGGUGAAAUGCGCAGAUAUCAGGAAGAACACCCGUGGCGAAGGCGGCUCUCUGGGACGGUACUGACGCUGAGGAGCGAAGGCCAGGGGAGCAAACGGG